UACGUAGGCCUCGAGCGUUAUCCGGAUUUAUUGGGCGUAAAGCGUGUGUAGGAGGUUCGGUAUGUCAGGAGUUAAAUCUUAGGGCUCAACCCUAAGGCCGCUCUUGAAACUGCCGGACUAGAGGGUGUUAGAGGUCUGUGGAACGCACGGUGUAGGGGUGGAAUCCGUUGAUAUCGUGCGGAACACCAAAGGCGAAGGCAGCAGACUGGGGCACUCCUGACUCUGAGACACGAAAGCGUGGGUAGCGAAUGGG
rnacentral:misc_RNA from 1 species